ACAAGAUUUUUGACAAGGAAGGAAGACAUAUUCUGGCAAACUUAACAUUAAUGCCAGGAACAAGUCUAGAAUGGAUUUUCAUAGGUGAUUUGAGAGUACUUAAGGAAAAGACAUGAUCAUUUAGAGCCAGCCUAAGUUUACCAAAAACAGGUUAAGCCACACUAACUUUAUUUUUCAGAUAAGAUUAGCAUAUUCGUAGUCUGGAAAAUGCUAUACAAAGAAUGUAAAACAUGAAACUACUUGUGGACCAAAUGAAAAACUGUGGAGCAGAUUAUGAUGCAGUUAGACCUUGCUUGAAUGACUUCGACCCACAAAAGCAGAGUAAUUUAUCCCUACUUACAGAGAGAUUGCCCUACGUGUAACAGCUGCAUACAAAAAAGUUAUAAAAUUAUCAUUGGUUUAACAAGGAUAAAUGAAAAACAUUAAAAUUCUCCAACUGAACAAGGUGUGUCUGUUUCAUUGAUUGGCUGACUGUCAAAUCGGAAUCUGAUCUGCCCCAUUGACAAUGCCUUGGGCUUUUCCUCAGCCAUGGCAAAUGCCAGAGUCUUCUCAGCUGCCGCUUCACAAAAGAGGUACCAGCUUCUCACUGAACGAACACAGUGCAGCACCAGGAGUGACAGAAGAAGGAGGCGGCAGCGGUGGUUGAGGGACAGGGUGCGUGCACGUCCAAGUACAGUUCUUAAAAUGUUGAGGGCAUGCAACAUAUGCUCAAUAAAUACCUGAUUUUUAAAAAAGACAAUGAUUAUGGAAAACUCUUGAUCAUUAACCCGAAGGGAGAGUCUAGUUUCCAGGAAGCAUUUGUUUGUAUACACUAUUUAACCCAAGGAUACACUCUUUUCUCCGUGGCAGCGUGACUCAUCUUAGUCUCCAAUUUUUGACCUGGUGGAAGUGGAAAAGAAAUUGCCAAUGAUGCUGCAAAUAACUUCCUUCACCUUCUAACCUGGAGAUUCAUUGAAGGAAGAAAAAAGGUGACUGUCAGAGUCCCUGCUGGCCAUGCCUCUCAGCCACAGGACCACUGAGCCACUUAAUUCCUCCCCAGGGUCAGAUGUGCCCCAGCACCCAAUUGUUUAUGGAUACCCUAACCACCUUUUCACACUCCUU
rnacentral:lncRNA from 1 species